CAGGAACUACAGGAGCUGAUCCUAGUGGACUGGGGAGUGCUGAGCACCCUGGGGCAGAUAGAUGGCUGGAGCUCCACUCAGCUCCGCAUUGUGGUCUCCAGUUUCCUACGGCAGAGUGGUCGGCAUGUGAGCCACCUGGACUUCGUUCAUCUGACAGCGCUGGGUUAUACUCUCUGUGGACUGCGGCCAGAGGAGCUCCAGCACAUCAGCAGUUGGGAGUUUAGGUCAUUUGUGAAGGGGCUGAGGGUGGUCGUGUUCAGGUAAAGGUGGACUUGCUGGGGAAAGGAGGAUCAUGAAGUUAUAGUCCCAUGGAGGAAGGGAACUCAUUUGAAGCCAUCUCUUCCUUUGUCUCAUGACCACAGUCCCUUUCACUGAAGCCGAAUUCUUCUUCCUUCCUUCCCACUGUUCUACAGCCAAGCAGCUCUCUUC
rnacentral:lncRNA from 1 species